UGCUUAUCCACAGAUUUAGAUGCUUUAUGUUGACUUACUGGUUUUUGUUAAUGGUAUGCUGAUUAUGAAUGUGUGCACGUGGUAGCUGUUCCUUCCUGAAGAACAUUCCUGUUGAAAGGAUGCUGAUAGUCUCCUACUUGACAGUAUUGUGCACGCUUGGCUCAUCAUGAAUGACCUUUUUGCAACUGUGAAGAGAACAAAGCCUUUAAUCAAAGGGAGGAUGGCAACUAUCACAUCUGUGUGGCCCAGGAAGCAACACUUAACUGGUGAAAAAAAGGUACUACUAGCAUUUCAUGGUCAUAGCAAAAGCUGUUUUGUUCACACGACACGUAUGUGCCAUGUCAUGGUGCUACACUAGUGGUAGGCCAUCAAAGAUGUCAUUGAUUUAGGUUGAUAUAAUUUAAGUAGCAGCUUUUCCUGUGCAAGUAAUUUUAUGCAUGAGCAUUUAAGCCCACUGUGACAGAACUCUUCUAGAUUUCAUUGUGUUCACUUGUGAACUCAGAAACAGCCAGACCAAUUGGCAAGACCAACACUGGUUAAAAGACCUAUUGGUUUCAGGCUGCGUUUGUUUUUCCAUGGAUUCAGAAUUGGCAUUGAAAUCAGAGAGGCUUCAAAGUUUUAGCCUGUACUGAGCUUAGCCUGUAAGCUCCUUUUUACAUAAAUCAUUUGAGUUCUAAAAACUUUUUGAUUACGUAUCAACCUUUUGCUAUAUUUAAUCUUGAAGACUUGUCCAGGCUGAGCAGUUCUUACGAUUUAGCGUGCAACAUGUGUACAACUUGAAUUUCCCUUUUUACUUCUUUCUUGAAUAAUUUCUACUGGAAAAGUGUCAUAGAUUUUCCAGUGUCCUCUGUAACUGAUCAAAUAUUUAGGUAUGGACAAUAUCAAGCCUCUCCUGGAUGGUUAAAAAAAAAAA